GUUUAUUCAUUAUCAUUAUAAAUUCAAGAUGGCCGCCGCUACAAAAUGGCGGAUAACGUAGGUUUUAUCGAUUCCAUCAAUAUGGGUAUCAAAUGAAAGGGCUCAACAAGCAGAAUACAAUAUACUAUAAAAAAUUGAUAUACAAGAUGGCGGCCGCUACAAAAUGGCGGAUAACGUAGGUUUUAUCGAUCCCAUCAAUAUGGGUAUCAAAUGAAAGUGCUCAACCAGUAUAAUCAAUGUACU
rnacentral:misc_RNA from 1 species